rnacentral:lncRNA from 1 species
AUUUUUUUUUUUGCCCAAAAAUCCAGUGCGGGCAUCUGCCCGCACUGGACGUAAGGUGGCUCCGCCCCUGCUAGAUGCCCGCACUGGACGUAAGGUGGCUCCGCCCCUGCUAGAUGGUCUGGGUUGUUAUGGUUACUGAAAGGCCUUAAUACACAAGCACGAAUUUAACUCAUUUUCUGAUGCUCUACUGAAAAGGAUUUUUUUGGUUUUAUACGUGUCGAACAGAUUCUGGCUUAUCUGCUAAUGUCAGCAUCAUCUUCAGCAGCUACGAGGGUGGACGACUGGAUGUCUAACUGGGGGAAAGAUGAGUUCACAUUGAUGGCCAGUGCUUCUAUUGCAAUGUCAUUCCUGGCUUUUCUUGCCUUUGCCAUGAGCUCUCUCAUAUCUGGUUACAACCUUUGUUACUACGAGUCGACUUGACUUGAUUUCUCACCAGUCUACCUCUGUACAUUCUUGUUUAUUUUUUUCUUUUAAUAAUUUUGAGUAUCUUAUGAAUUGAUAACUUAUUUCCGAAUAAAUUCUAAAAUUGUACAGAUGUAGUGAUGGUUUGAUAGGAAUUCUUCUCUGGUUUAUAAAUAAAUGGUAUAAAUAAAUGGUCCAUUAUAUCGAGU